GCCUGGGUGGCUCAGUCGGUGCGAGCCUCUGACUUCGGCUCAGGUUAUGAUCUUGCGGUUCGUGAGUUCGAGCCCCGCGUCGGGCU
rnacentral:tRNA from 1 species